rnacentral:rRNA from 1 species
GUCCCAAGGGUUGGUCUUUUCGCCCCUUCAAGCUUUACGCGAGCUGGGUUCAGMACGUCKUGAGACAGUUCGGUCCCUAUCCGUCGCGGGCGCAGGAAAUUUGAGAGGAGCUGUCMUUAGUACGAGAGGACCGGGAUGGACGCACCGCUGGUGUACCAGUUGUCCCGCCAGGGGCACCGCUGGGUAGCUAUGUGCGGACGGGAUAAGCGCUGAAAGCAUCUAAGCGUGAAGCCCCCCUCAAGAUGAGAUUUCCCACCGCGUGAAGCGGGUAAGAUCCCUCGAAGAUGACGAGGUCGAUAGGUCCGAGGUGGAAGCGUGGCGACACGUGGAGCUGACGGAUACUAAUCGAUCGAGGGCUUAACCUAG